ACAGGCCCCAGGCCAUGGUGGCAGGGUGACCCAGGUAAUAAGGAGCCCCAAGAACCCAAUGCAAGGGUCCCAGAGAUGGUCCUUCCUGGGCCAGGCUCACCUAAAGGGUCAGAUCCAGACAUACUAGAAACUUCUCGCCCUUCAGUGCCCAUUUUCCCCUGCAGGGAAUGUAUCCGGUGGCUGAGAGUUGGCAGAAUGGGGACUGCCCCUUGAAGAAACCAUACUCUGCAACAGAUGGAUGGACCCUGAUAAAAGAAGUCAAGGCCAAGAGCAGUGGAGGCUUGUUGUUAAGGCCAAAUGGGAUCAGGCAUGAAAGGCAUGAAAAAAAGAAGAAAAAUGAAAUGAAAUAUUUAAUUACAUUAAAUAAUCAAUCAAAGACUUCUGUGUGACCCGAGUCACAACUAUUUAAUCCUGGGUUUCUUUUGGAUUUCCAAUUGUUCCUUUCAUCUCUGAGCCUAGUCACUCUCUUGCUGGUGGAGCAAGGAGGAAGGGACCUGCAGAUUACAGAAUCACAUGACAAGGUUUCCUCCAGCUUUCUUAAUACAAGGAGGUCCAAAAUGGCUCUCUUGUCUCUUGAGCCUUCGCAGCAAAGUUUCCAUGGAAACUGCUGAGCUGUCAAAUGAUCAGCCAUAGGAAUUCUAAGCAAACAGGAUUUUUCAGCCAGUAACAUAGAGCCAGACUAAAGUACAAUGGGAUAAAGUAAUUUUGAGUAGCGCUGACCCCUCUGAUAACCCUUCAGAUGCAACUUUUCUCUGAUUUGCUAACUUUCCGCUGUGAGGGAUGGGCCAUACACACAGAGGUCAACUGCCAUAUUGGGAACAAAGAACAAAUUGUACCCCUCACCCCCGAUGGCUGUUUCCAACCACAGCAGAAAGGCCCGGCUCCUGUAACAGAAGGUCCAGUGGAUAGGUACAAGGAGUCUGUACAGCAGGUUGAGGAAGUACAACUAAGACACUAAGGUUCCAUGCACCCAGGGAAUGGAGGGGAUCUCUCUGCCACUUCCACUAUAUCGAUCAGAUGAUCUGAGCGGUUACCAAGGCAACUGAACGUCAGAGCUUUACAGUCUCCUAACCUUGUCAACAUAUCUGAAUGUGCACACAUAGAUGACAUCACCUGGUAUCCGUGAUCAAACCCAUACCAGAUCAUGGGCCCCUGACUAUCCGAUCACUGGGCAUGCCUACAACCUGAAAUUCUUCAACUGGAGAUGUCUGGGAAGUAAUCUGGACAUCUUCACACUACGUCCUAAUUCUUCUGCAUACAAAAUCCUAACAUGGCAUAUGGUGAGGACAGCUGCAGGAAGGAAGAAAAUAGCUACAGAAAUCCAAGUCACAUACACUUUUGUGCCCCAGGGUUCAAUGAACUCUGCUUGGCAGUCAAAUAUGCCUGGAGAUACUUCAGUUUUCCGAAAGAUAAAUACCUGGGGAAUGCUAAAGACCAACGAGAUACACCAGCUGAUGCAGAUGGAAGCAUUCCAAAGAGCCCCUUUCUUUUGCAAAGGGGCUGUCGGAUAGCACACUGCUUGGAAUCUGUCCAUUGCCAUUACUACUAUCAUAUAAGUGGAGGCAAACAUGCUCAGUAGCUGAAGAUAACUGAUGGUUCUGCAUAGGAUAUCUGGACCUAUGAAGAUAUCUGUAAUUUUCCAAAACAGCUGAGGAAGGACUUGAAAGAAUGCAACCAUCAGGUCGGCAAUGCUUAGGUGAAGCAGGAACACAUACAUUCUUGACAGCUUCAUUCUUCUCCUCCAUAGCAGUAGUAUGAGGAUGCAGUUGCCCACAGAUGCUGCCAAAAAUAAUAUUCCUAGCACAGCAAUUUCUACCUGAGCUAAUUGCGCAUCUCUUGGUUGUCUUUCAGGUAGAAUCGAUGUAUUUGUUAAGUUGAGAAAACUGUGGAGAAAAGGAGUCCCAAGCUGGUAGUCAUUUUCUUGAGGAGAAAAUGAGAAAUUCUUCAUAGUACACAGGGAAUGUUUUAAGAUUGUAACUUAGAUUGGCAGCUGCAGAGGACAAGCUAGUGAAUAUACCACCAGUUGUUCAGAUUUCAGUGUCUUGAAGCAUAUGGAUGCAUGGUUCAGUGUUCUUUAAUGUCAAUAUAAUUCUGUUUCUUUUCCUCCAGUGUAAGAGAUGGGGGGAGCCUUUAUUCUUGACAAGGAGAGCUUUAUGUAACUUCAGAUACUGUUGUUCCCUUAACCAAGAAGAAUAAGGGGGGGGGACUAACAGAGUUAAGCAUAUAUUUAAAGAAACUAGUAGGGUUAAAUGAACCACCCAUUUCCAUCAAAUUCUAAAGUAAUAGCGACCUACAUAUUUAUAUAUGGGAACUUUGCCAGGUGUCUGUGUGACAACUAUGUUCCUUAAUUUAAUACUCAUGUUCUUCUAAAGCCAAAUAUUUCUGCUUUUCUGCAUGGAAAAGCUGCACACUUGGCAUGGGAUUCUUCAUCAUCAAAACCUCUUGAAUCCUUGGGACAAAGAUGAUAGGCUAAAAUCUCUGUAUUCUAGAGUAUUUGAUUUUACUAGCCUCAACAAUAACACUCCAAAAUGUGAGUAUCACUCUGAAAGAAAACUGUUCUAAAAAUAAUCAUAUUUUUCUGUCUAAAAGGCCUAGAAUAGGAUUAUUUUGCUUAUUCAAAAAAAGUUCACUACAUUUCCUAGAACUACACAUCUGCUCAGAUUUUUUUCAGCUGACAAAAACAAAACGCAGUAGAAAAUGCUGAGACAGAUGUCUGAAAAACUCCAAUUGAGAUGGUCAUUGCUGUUUUGAUGGCUGCAACCUACAAAAUUGCUGCAAAAGUUCAAAGAAUGUACACCAAAAUCCGACAGUUACUUGAUAACAAUGAUUACUCAAUAACAUAACUAUAUUUAGGAUUUUAGCCAUUAUAUGAGCUCCUUCACACACUGCAUGGCAAAGCAGACUUGCAUUUGCUCUUAAGCUGUAGUUCUAGGAUUUAGUGGGAAGCCACAGCUAUUCCUAGAUUUCUGGUGAAUAUAACAAUAUAAAGCACAUUUUCAAGUACAUUUUUGUUGUGUUCAUACUACUUAUUUUUUAUGAGCACAAUACCUUAAAAAUGUGUUUCAUUCUUAGAAAUGUGUGUUCAGAAAGCAAUGUCUUCUGCUUUCCCCAAGAGCAAUUAUAGUUUUUUUUAAACUAUAAAAGAAUGUAACUUGUGAAGAAAAGACUAGACAACUUUCCUAAAAUAACUCCCUUUACAGCUUUCUCCCAAUAACACCACAUUUCCUACUUAUUUCAACUUAAAGUAUUCUAAGCAUUGGAGUCUGCAAGCUAAUUACUCAACUAUUCUUUUCAUAUUUGUUUAAAAGGUUUAAAAUACUUACUUAGCUUGCAGAAGUGUUGUCAAGUCCUGUUAAUUGGUCUUUAUAAGGUAUGAUAAGUCCACUGACUCCUCAGAGUAAUUAUUCCUUCUCUGCUUGCUUAAAGCUGCAUAGCAGUAACUGAGUGGCUGAAAUUCUUUCCCCAGCUUUCAUUGUGGAGAAAGGGGAUGUCCUUGCAUCAAUUGUCUCAAAUGCUCUAUGUACCUGAACUUCUCUUGGGUAAAAAUACUUCUACUGCUAACAUAUGGCUUGUAUUCAUGUGAUUUGUAUGAGCAACUAAUAGAGUGCCUAGUCACAGCUAGCUAUCCUGUCAUAAUAUAUGUGAUAUACGCCUGAAACGCUUGCCUUUUGACAUUAACAAAAAAGAAAGCACAACCGUUUCUUAAAAGAUGUUUUGCACCACACAUAUUUAUUUAUUUUACUUCCGAAAACAUAUAAGCCAUCCUUCAGCAGAAGGCUUCCAGGGCAGUUUAUAGAAUAAUAAAAUGAUAAAACCAUUUCAGAAAAAUAGCAGGGAGCAGCAGCCAAUCAGUAAAAUCAAGCAGAAAACUAAAAUAGUAGUUUAUUAUUUUAUGUUAUUAUUUAUACUAAAAUUUAUACUACUUAUACUAAAAUAGCAGUAUAAAAAUAUUUUUUCUAUUUGUAUUUGUCAUAUUCUUAAUGUUCAGUCAUACCAGUUCAAUGACACCAGUUCACUAUGAGCCAGUUCAGAUGAUAGCAGCCCAGCACACCUGAAGAAAGAGGGAGGUGCUCUCUUAGAAUGACUCUUGAUCAUUUGUUUAUGAGGGCUGUUCAUCCAUAUUGCCUCUACAUGUGCUACAAAUACUUGUUUGAACAGGUUAUACACAUGUUAAGAGACCACUGGGAUGAACAGUCCCCACACAAUCAAGAGAUGUGCCAAGAGGAUAUCCUGAUGGGUGUGCUCUCAGUGCCACCUCUCUACACAUAUGCUGUGCCAAUAUUGUUUGAACUGGCCCUACGUUGUGUGCUGGAUUACCUGGGCAAAUAAAGUCUUCACAUUAAACUUAGUGCCAGGCACGCUUCUGUGAGUAUUCUGUAUGCGGGGCACCACAACCAAGAAAAAUCUCACAUUGGCUGUCACAUUGGCUGUCACAUUGGUUGUCACCCAAAAGCCGGUAGACACAGAAGAGGACCUCCAAUAAUGAAUACAAGGCUUUUUUUCCAUGUGUUGUAUUGCUAGAAAUGAGCAUAUAAUUAACUUACUGAAGUAGAAAUAGACUGUCUAUACAACAGCAGACUUGCAGCAGAAUGGCAUAGCAUAUAUUUGAGUUCUGAAUGUCUCACAUUUACAAGGUAGCAGGCUUAUGACACACCAAAAUAUAUUCUCAAUAGAUUUUUCUGGAAAAGUUUACUGAAAGUCCUAUUUGGACAGUGCAUACAAGUGUACAGGUAUACAUAUACAUGUUUUUGUGUGGAUGAUUGUAUGCGUGCUCAUUUGAAAACUAAAUCUGAGUACAGACUCCUACAAAUGCAAGAUAUAAAUAGGAAAUGUCCUGCUCUGGGUGUUUGAAGAUAAUGGACUUGUUGAAUGAUAUUCUAUUCACUUGCCUGACCACAUGCAAUAACGACAUGCACAUUCUAUGAUCUGACCUAAUAAUUAACAAUACCUAUGUUUCAGCUAUGUAGUAUAAUGCUAAUUAGAAAUGUGCAAAUCAA